AUGGCUAGCGACACCAAUGAUUUGGAAGACAGUGAAAGGAUGUACCGUGAUGAUGAGUUAGAUGAAACAAUUGUUUCGCAAAGCCAGUUCAAAGAAGGACAGACUCAGAUACUUGAUGUAGGCGGCAGAGAUGUUCAGUUUGAUGUUGAAAAUUUCCUAAAUAACUUGCGGAAUUUGUUUUACUCCUCAAAUGGCAAUGCUGAGUGUUCUAUGAAUCCUUGCAAUUGUGGCCAACGUGCCCCACUUCCUCCAAAGAAGGCAAUGAGCAGGUGUAACCAUGGCUAUUUUACUGACCUAUUGAACAAAAUACCACCAGCAAGAUUAGAUGUCAUUAAGAAUUAUGGUUGCCCUUUCAUUCUUGAUUUUGAGUGCAAUUCUGUUCCAAGAGGUUUUGCGCAAUGGAUAGCAGGGAAAGUGAAUCCACCUACUGGUGACAUAGUUCUUGAGAACAAAGUCAUUCCAAUGAGCCCCGAAUCAUUUCAUCUACUUUUUGGUCUUCCAAUAGGUGGCAGAAAAGUUUUAUUUGGCUUGAAGUGA
rnacentral:rRNA from 1 species